GUGGGACGAAAUAAAUGACGGUACCACCAAAGUAAGCUCCGGCUAACUUCGUGCCAGCAGCCGCGGUAAUACGAGGGGAGCAAGCGUUGUUCGGAAUCNUUGGGCGUAAAGGGCGCGUANGCGGNCUGGCNAGUCUAAGGUGAAAUCCCUCGGCUCAACCGANGAACUGCCUUGGAAACUGCCGGACUUGAGUUCCGGAGAGGAAAGCAGAAUUCCCAGUGUAGCGGUGAAAUGCGUAGAUAUUGGGAGGAAUACCGGUGGCNAAGGCGGCUUUCUGGACGGAAACUGACGCUUAGGCGCGAAAGCUAGGGGAGCAAACGGGAUUAGAUACCCCGGUAGUCCUAGCCGUAAACGAUGGACACUUGGUGUUGGGGGU
rnacentral:rRNA from 1 species